AGCGAACGCUGGCGGCAGGCCUAACACAUGCCAGUCGAACGAACCUUUCGGGGUUAGUGGCGGACGGGUGAGUAACACGUGGGAACGUGCCUUUAGGUUCGGAAUAACUCAGGGAAACUUGUGCUAAUACCGAAUGUGCCCUUCGGGGGAAAGAUUAAUCGCCUUUAGAGCGGCCCGCGUCUGAUUAGCUAGUUGGUUGAGGUAAUGGCUCACCAAGGCGACGAUCAGUAGCUGGUCUGAGAGGAUGAUCAGCCACAUUGGGACUGAGACACGGCCCAAACUCCUACGGGAGGCAGCAGUGGGGAAUCUUGCGCAAUGGGCGAAAGCCUGACGCAGCCAUGCCGCGUGAAUGAUGAAGGUCUUAGGAUUGUAAAAUUCUUUCACCGGGGACGAUAAUGACGGUUCCCGGAGAAGAAGCCCCGGCUAACUUCGUG
rnacentral:rRNA from 1 species